AUGGCUCGCGGCAAUCAUCAAAAUGACAAUGAUGAUUUCGUGGAUGUACCUCAGCAGAAUCAGGCAACUGGACGUCGAAAAGACGACGAUGAGAAGAAGAAACGUACUCGCAAUAGGGCUUCGCAGGAACACCUGACUUCAUUGACCGAGGGAUUUACCGACUAUCAGAAGGGAUCUGCUGCUGAGAUGGGUAUGCGGGUUCUGAUGGAUGUUCGGUGCAAGAAUCUUGUGAACCUUGUAUGCGACUGGCUUGGUGAGAUUUACGACCCCGCCUCGAGGGAAUUUGUGAUUCCGGGACGUGGAAUACUGCCGUUGGAUGAGGAAUCCGUGUUCUGCACUCUGGGUGUGCCCCGUGGAGAGAUCAAAGUCCCGUAUGAGGUCAAUAAUAAGAUCGAGGGGACGUUGUUUCCCCGUUUGUUUCCUGGGUUGGAAUCCAUGCCGAAUACGACUUUCCUGGCAGAUUCGCUGCAGGCCAUGACAACCCAUGGCGAGGUUUUUAAGAUGAAGCUACUCGUGUACCUCAUCUCAGCUGUUUUUGCACCGACCACUUCUCUUCGCCCAAGCAACAAAUGCUUCCCCAUCCUGGCGAAACUGAAAGAUGUGAAGAAGAUGAAUUGGUGUAAGUUCAUUGCAGACUUCCUGAAAGAUGUGAAGAAGAUGAAUUGA
rnacentral:rRNA from 1 species